GGUCUGUAAUCAAUAGCUAGUUACAUAUAUCUCGGGAAUAAAUUUGCUUUGAUAAACAUUAUACAGUGCUCUUGUCAUUUGUUUGGUCUCGUGUUUUGUUUUAAGUGUCAAUUAUCCUCAUAAUAAUAUGAAGUUGGUCGCGUGCAUCUGUUCGCUGUUGGUGGUGGUAGCCUGUCAAGCUAACAAUGGAGCGACGCCAACUACAGUAAACAAUUACAUAGUAAACCACAACAACAAUUACAAUAUAACUUACAACAAUUACAACUUAAAUAACAACAUGUACAACCACAACGCGCGCCCAUUCAGACAGAGCCGCCCAUAUAGGCCGAGACACCCAUUCAGGCCGAGCCGCCCAUUCAAGCCGAGCCGCCAAUUCAGGCCGAGCUAUGCUCGCCAAUUCAAGCCGUGCUACGCUCGCAAAUUCAGGCCGAGCUACGCUGGCUAAAGCUUGAGGCCAACAGCGAGAUUCCUAACAAAAAAAAACCGGAGCGCGUAUAACAACAACAUUCAACAACAACAUGUUUGGUCCUUAUUAUAGAUACAGACCAAAUCUUGUUGAGGGCAUACUUAAUGCUGCUUCUGAGUCUGACACUGUGUGGAACAUUCGAAGCCCCAUAGGACAUCGAAAUUUCUAAAAGAUAUAAUAGAAAUAAUUACAGUAGCAUAUUAAAGAAUUACCUACCUUCUAAAAACAAUAUGUUUAUUAAGGAACAUAA